rnacentral:lncRNA from 1 species
CUCUGAUGGUGCAUGACAAUAACGUGUUGCAAAAGAAAGCUGAUUGGGUUCAAGUGAAAUCUAUCCCAAGGAAAGAAUCUUUGGAGCAGCUGGUUCCAUUUAUAUAUUUUAUUUCUGAAGCUCAUGAGCGUUCCAGUGAGAGAUGGUAAUGCAGGGCGAGGCUGGAGAGGCUGAAAGCUAUUCCUUCCUGGUGUGCAGGCCGUUGCUACACGUUCUUGCCUUGGAGCUGAAGCCAAAGUUGCUGUCUGUAACAGAAUUAUCGCAUCAUUAAGGAAUCAAGGGUCCAUUGCUUCAGAAAAGCCAUCAAAAUUGAAUUUCGGAGUGGUUUUAUGUAGAUGAAUUUAUUGUGAAUGAAUGCAACCAGCCUCCUUUUCUGCUGCCCUGGUGUGUUUGGAGCCUACCCGUCGGCAUUAACUGCGUAAUGUGGUCCCUAGGAGGGAAUGGCUGAAGUGAUAAUCGUGAUGCAGCAGGUGACCUUCACCUGAAGAAGCUCUCGGUUGCGGUUGGUGCCUCUCGAGCUCCUGUGGCACCCCGUGAGCAUGCGCGUUCUGUGACUGAAACUUGGAGAAAUAAAGGCUAUUCAUUACUGCAGUACCCUGUGAACAAUAGAGAUCACGAAAGGCCUUGCAGGGAACUCCUCUGUGUGUUGGCUCUUCAAGAAGCAGGAUGGGCCCUUGGAGGGAUUUCUCUCAGGCUUCAAGUAGCUGUUGUGUGCACGAUCUGCCUGGCUAAGCGCUUUGUGUCCGACCUGACGUAAGACCUAGAAGGGACAAGAGUUUCCCACUCCCUACCUUGCGAUUCAAAGUGCUCACUGAGUCUGUG